UGCCGCGUGUGUGAAGAAGGCCUUCGGGUUGUAAAGCACUUUCAGCGAGGAAGAACGCCUAGUGGUUAAUACCCAUUAGGAAAGACAUCACUCGCAGAAGAAGCACCGGCUAACUCCGUGCCAGCAGCCGCGGUAAUACGGAGGGUGCGAGUGUUAAUCGGAAUUACUGGGCGUAAAGCGCGCGUAGGUGGCUUGAUAAGCCGGUUGUGAAAGCCCCGGGCUCAACCUGGGAACGGCAUCCGGAACUGUCAAGCUAGAGUGCAGGAGAGGAAGGUAGAAUUCCCGGUGUAGCGGUGAAAUGCGUAGAGAUCGGGAGGAAUACCAGUGGCGAAGGCGGCCUUCUGGACUGACACUGACACUGAGGUGCGAAAGCGUGGGUAGCAAACAGGAUUAGAUACCCUGGUAGUCCACGCCGUAAACGAUGUCGACCAGCCGUUGGGUGCCUAGCGCACUUUGUGGCGAAGUUAACGCGAUAAGUCGACCGCCUGGGGAGUACGGCCGCAAGGUUAAAACUCAAAUGAAUUGACGGGGGCCCGCACAAGCGGUGGAGCAUGUGGUUUAAUUCGAUGCAACGCGAAGAACCUUACCUACUCUUGACAUCUACAGAAGCCGGAAGAGAUUCUGGUGUGCCUUCGGGAACUGUAAGACAGGUGCUGCAUGGCUGUCGUCAGCUCGUGUUGUGAAAUGUUGGGUUAAGUCCCGUAACGAGCGCAACCCUUGUCCUUAUUUGCCAGCGCGUAAUGGCGGGAACUCUAAGGAGACUGCCGGUGACAAACCGGAGGAAGGUGGGGACGACGUCAAGUCAUCAUGGCCCUUACGAGUAGGGCUACACACGUGCUACAAUGGCCGGUACAAAGGGUUGCGAGCUCGCGAGAGUCAGCUAAUCCCGAAAAGCCGGUCUCAGUCCGGGAUCGGAGUCUGCAACUCGACUCCGUGAAGUCGGAAUCGCUAGUAAUCGUGAAUCAGAAUGUCACGGUGAAUACGUUCCCGGGCCUUGUACACACCGCCCGUCACACCAUGGGAGUGGACUGCACCAGAAGUGGUUAGCCUAACGCAAGAGGGCGAUCACCACGGUGUGGUUCAUGACUGGGGGAAGU
rnacentral:rRNA from 1 species